rnacentral:lncRNA from 1 species
GGCGUCACAUUGUAUGGACUUAGAGAAAAAUUUUCUACACCCAAUUAUAGAUAAAAUAAAUUAUACUAUGAAUAUUUAAUUAGCAUGGUAUUCUUCUAAUAUUUGUUAUUGACAGGGUGUAUUUGAUAUUAUUGAUUUUAAGGAGGAUCAUGUGCGGCGAGCUGUGGAUGCUCAUUUAUGUUUGUGUUUCAAGGAGUAUCACCAUCACAUUUAUCAGUAUUGGUACCAUGUG